CUGAAACAAGUUAUAGUAUCUCAUUUUAUAUGUCUUACAAAUUUAACAAAGAGAUCAAAUUAAUAAAAAACUUUUAAAAAGAAUAAACUAUAAUACAAAAAUAAAUUGUAUCUAACAAUAAAACAAAAAGUUAUAUUCUGCAUAAUGCUGCUAUUCAAUCUUGACUUGCAGAACAUAUUAAUACACAAAGAGUAAUUCUUAUCAAGUAAGAAAUUACCUGACUCAGAGACAUCAGAGUCUUGAUUAUCCAGCUGCUGCUGCAUAGGCUAUUACCCACAGCAUCACCCUUCAACACUUCCAAUUCCUCCUCGUUGACAUCCUCAAGUGAGUGAUCACGUAUUCGUGACGUUUUCACCUUCGAAGAUGCACACGUGUACACGCAAAGGUAAAGAAGAGCAUUGAUACAGAUGGUAUUACAAGACAUUUUGUACUAUUUCCAUUGGCACCUGCAUAGUCUGGUCAUCGACGAGAACGAUAUCAUAAUUUUCCAUGAACGAGUCUAAGCUGGCCUCCACCUAAAGAACAGAAUUAUUACAGAUUAGUCAUCACGUAUUAGUCAUCAUUAUUUCAGCAGUAGUUUAUAAGCUGGAGAAAACAGAAAAUAGAAAUAUUUAUUGCGUCUACAAUAUUAUUUGAUAAUUAUUUCAUAAUUAUAAAACAUUAUUUUAUGUGUGAAAAAUAUUUGAAAUAAGUAUUUUGUGUAGAAAAUAUAUAAAAAACAAAUAAUAUUUAACAUUAAUAUUUCAUGGCUAUAUAAAUGUAACUCAUUUUUCUAUAAACAUGUUUCAAAACAUA